UACGGGGGGGGCAAGCGUUGUUCGGAAUUACUGGGCGUAAAGGGCUCGUAGGUGGCCAACUAAGUCAGACGUGAAAUCCCUCGGCUUAACCGGGGAACUGCGUCUGAUACUGGAUGGCUUGAGAUUGGGAGAGGGAUGCGGAAUUCCAGGUGUGGCGGUGAAAUGCGUAGAUAUCUGGAGGAACACCGGUGGCGAAGGCGGCAUCCUGAACCGACAUUGACGCUGAAAACCGAAAGCUAGGGGAGCAAACGGG
rnacentral:rRNA from 1 species